GGAUGAAAUAACCUACCAUAAUACAUUUUUUUAAUAAAAAACCGGCAAUUCUGAGAAAAACAAAAAACGAUUAUCAAAUUCCGUUUUAGGGAAACUUUAUCAUUAAGAAAUUGUCGUUAAGGUCGUUCUUAAUCCAAAAACGUUUCUAACUUCUAACUAACUAAUGUAUGUCUGAUUUAUUAUUUCUUACUCUUAGUACGUACAAUACUGAUUAUUAUUAUCAUUGUCAUAUGAAUUCUAUGAAGGUAAUAAUUUACAACGACAAACCAAUAAAUGUUACUAUUUUUAUAAUAAAUUAUUAAUCAUAGCUUCAACUUUUUCCUUAGGAAGCGGCAAGUAGAAAGUUUGAAUUUUUUAGGUGUUACUAGUUAAAGUCUAGACGCUUUUGAUAGUUGAUAUGCUAAAAGUCUUAAGCGUGAAUUCAAAUAUUUUGAGUAAUUUGUUUCUAUUUUUUUCAUUUUGAAAAGGUGAACCGAAUAUUAACUUUUUCGCUUUUGCUUGCUCUGCAAAUAAGUGGUACUUCUUUAUUUUAAUUAAAUUGAACUAAGACAUUUUCAAAACUUCGAAACAAAGGAGACAAAUAUUUUGAGUAGUUUGGACCAUCCAUUUUAUUGUGACUUUCUUAAUUUUUUUUUUUUAAUAAUAAAAGAAUGCAAGAAUGUGGCCUUUUGAUUUUUGUGGCGUUGCUUAAAACGUCGUUAUGCCCUGUUUUACUCCUUCGGUUGGUUUAUAAGACCAACUUGAAACAUACAAAUGCUUAUUGGAAUGAAUUUACUUCUUCGAAUAUUCUCCAAUAUCAUAUUUACACAUCUGGAUUACAAAUUCAUUUUUUUUGUUAAUGAGUGUAUAAGUGGUUAAAUAACUAAAUAAUUAGAAACUCCAUUCCUAACAACAUUUCAAGGAUUGUUGCGCCACCUCAUUUAUUUAUUUAUAAUUAGAAAUGUACGUGGGUAGUUUUAAUUUUAAAAAUUUAGUUAUUUUGUUUUCGCUAGAAUUUGUCAAUUGGUCAAUCCCAAAGGAUUUGAAAAACCUUGCUUUUUCUGAAUUUCUGUAUGUCUCUUUAAAUUUAUGGAGCACCAACUUAACGAAAAAUUUAAUCUAAUUGAUCCAACUCGUGAUAUAAUCAAUGGAAAAACAACACCCACUCUUUAACUACACUUAAAGAAGGAUACAACACGAUGACGUCUAGGGAUACGAGGCAUGAAGCCUUAAACUAAAAAAUUCUCCAUAUUCUACUUUCUUUUCAGUUCACUUAUUGCGUUACAUAAUGGACUUUGAUGGUCUGCCUAGUGCCUGCGAUGACAUUGAAUGGGGUGGUUUAUAUUUUCUUUCUUCUUUCCCUUCCGGCGGAAAUUCUUAAGUGUGCGGACGGAGUUUUUCUUUAUUGUGGCGACAUCGAUUGGGUGAUUUGUCAUUUAAGUCUUAAGAAAGUGAGAUCACAAAAUAUAUGGUACACCAAAAACUUCACCCACUUUUCUUAAAUAAAAAUAAAAACUGGCACUAUCUCAAUGAGCGUCUGAAUAGUACACGCUUGCUUUGGACCACCAAAUAGUUUAAAGGAACCAUUUGCGGUCCUUCUCCCCAUGCUAGCUUCAGCUUGGUUUGCACAGACGAGACACCGUCGCGCGUCGCCGAACUCUGCCAUAUAAUAGUAUUUAUUAUCAGGACCAAUUUAAAAAAAAACUUGAAACACCAAAAGAUUGCGUGAUUUAGCUCAAUUUCACCCAUUGAAAAAAAUAGUUAAUAUACAUUAUA